AACCUUCUUAUCAACAGGAGCUGCAGAAAGUCAGCAAGCUAUUCAGCACGCUGGAGCUCCCCUGAACAUCCCUUUGUUCUGGCAUGAUCGAAGAAAUCAAAGGAGAUCUCUGGACACUGAGGUUUGGACCCAGGCCAUGCAGCAGUAAGAAGGAAUUGGAGAGGCAGCCAGUCCGUUUCACCCUUUUAUGCCCGCAGUUGGAAACACAAGGCGGAAAAGGGUAUACACAAAUAUAAAUGGAUGCUGCUUGCAAGAAUUCUGACUCCAGGUGCAUGGAGUUCAUGCAUAUCCAGAAUGGAAUAUGCAUAGGACCAGCACUGGAAGAAGAAUAAUUCUUACUAACCUGGCCCAACUCUUGGAACAGAGCAAGGGUCAUCUGGGUGGCGAUAACACUGCCUCAAAGGUGUUGCUCUUGAGUAGCCAGUCGUGGAAGUACAGGAAGACCAGUAUCACUUCCUGCCUAAGAUGCAAACCUGAGAUCUCAGCCGUCCUUGUUAUCACCGGCCAAAAGACUCCAAAGAAUUAGGAAGACGCCACAUAGAAGCAAAGAGGACAUGCUGCAUGAAGUAAGGCAGCAGUCCCUUAAUGAAAAUCAAAAAGUGCAGGAGUGGCAGGAGAGUGAAAGAAGGGCCCGCCAGCAGAACGCGGAUCACCGGCACCAAAGCACGGAGUGGCUGCUAAGCAUCAUGGAGCGCCAAGCGGACUCGAUACAGGCACUCGUAGCCAUGCAGGCGCAGCACUACCGCGUCUAUCUCCCCUGCAGCCCUUGUCCCAAAACUCUUUCCCUUGUGCCCCCAUGUCACCUCCAACCCACUUUCUCCCACAUCCGGGUUCUUAUUGCCACCAGCAGCCUCUAACACCUGUAGCUUCACCACCCAGCCCUGCAAACUAUGACCCUUACCCACUGCACUCAACCCCCAUCACCAUGCAUUUUAUCCAGCCUGAAAUGCAGCACUCCAGACAGGAAGGCCGAGUAUGAUAGCAGGACAUACACAAAUCUGUGAUUGAACCGUUCCCCUCCCCAUCCCCUUGCCC